UACGGAGGGUGCAAGCGUUAAUCGGAAUUACUGGGCGUAAAGCGCGCGUAGGUGGUUGAAUAAGUCGAUUGUGAAAUCCCCGGGCUUAACCUGGGAAUUGCAUUCGAUACUGUUCAGCUAGAGUGUGGUAGAGGGAAGCGGAAUUCCGGGUGUAGCGGUGAAAUGCGUAGAUAUCCGGAGGAACACCAGUGGCGAAGGCGGCUUCCUGGACCAACACUGACACUGAGGCGCGAAAGCGUGGGGAGCGAACAGG
rnacentral:rRNA from 1 species